UUUUUCUGGCACAUAUUUUACCAUAUCAUCUGAAAAACUCCUCAUGACGCCAUAGCACCCAUUGAAAUAGAGUGUUUGGAAAAAAAACGAAAUCUUUUGGUCCAGUGUAGAGGGCGUAGUCAGAAGAAAACGGCAACCAAUAGAAGUAAUACUCAUCAUCACUUCUAUUGGUUUCUGACACGUCCAUCAACCGCCAGCACUCACCCCUCCUCCCUGCGCGUUCACCGACUCGUGAACUUGACCGACCCCGCCCCCAUCAUUCAUGCACACGCGACAAGGCUCAUCAUCACUCGGCUAGUAGCAAGGUAACGAGAGUUAGCAGCAGGCUGAGCUACUUGGAAACUUUGGUGGCUUUUGCAGAGCUACAGGAAGAACUUUGGCUUUUGGAACACUAGACUACCGGUAACCAUGUCAGGAUAACAUACUCCCUUGGAUUAUCAUCGGACUCGCAAAACCAGACUCCAACACGGGCUGAAAAUUUGAAAUGGGACCUGACACUCUUGGACACAGAUGUCGGCUACGGCAGCGGCUUCAAAUACGCUUUGGUGACCAUAUUUCUAAUCGAGAGUUGUGCGAACGAGCCAGACAAACCAGCUGGGAGGAGGACGGAAGCACCCCUUCUCCAUCCGCGUUCAGUUGCUAAAUACGGAUCCACCCCGUAGUCAACAGCCGACAGGGUCCUUCCACAACCACAUACUUAUGCCAGUAAAAGCCACAGCUUUUCUCCUCCAAUCCAAGAAGCCUGGACUGCAGUCACCAUCUCAACACACCAACCAAGAGAAAGGCGGAUGGCUCAAUUCAAUAUGGAAAAUUGCACAAUAAAAGUUCCAGGACAUGAAGGCUGCAUACUGUGAACGUCAACCUUCAGGGCACCGUCCUGCGCAGAAGACUUUCUACCCUAAGAGGGAUGGCUGACCGCAGACACUCACAACCAGCACAGACGCCUCCAACCUCAAACCAGGCCCUUCACAGUUGCUGCACUUACCCACCUUCCCAGAGUUUUUGUGUGGUAAUGACAACUGUAAAUAUAGUAUAAAGUAAUGUAUCUAGUGUCAUGUGUAAUACAUUGUUUAAAUUGUCCAUACAUUUCAAUGACAUUAAAUAUUGGUGGACACAAUUUGACUGUGUGGCUUUUUUUUUUUUAAUUCAUUCUCUGACUGAAAAUGCAUGGUUACAUAAUUUAUAUAUUCCACAAGACCACAAUCAGAAGAACAUUUGACAGGUUGCAUUUAUUUUCUAUGUAUGAAAAAAACAAUGGUAACAAGACAAACGUGGUUCCAAACCAAAAAGGUGAGAUGUACAGAUGAAUGCUCCUACAGAUAAUGAAAAAUAAUAAAAGUCUGCACACUGCCGGUUUGUGUGUUUUAUACCGUACUCUGUAUAAACCUUUUAUAUUGCUCUAGUGGAGCAGGGUAACCCUGGCUAAUCCUGGGUAUUGUACUGUGUAUUACAAGGUCAGCCCUGUUCAAGUGCCCCAUACUGUCUGCAGGCUGCAUGCCUGAAGAGACCGUUUCUCUCACCUGGUCCUACAUCAGCCCAAAGUCUUAUCAAAACUGAGAACACCACAGCAUUUCCUUUCAAUGUUCAUGGGCAUCUCCUUACAGAUUGCGCAGAGGCGCCAGGUUGGUUGUGCUACUGGGCUGUGACUGAGGACCAGAUGUCAUGUGCCAGGUCGAACAUCAAACUGGGGUCACGGGUCAGGGCACGCUGCAGUAACCGAUGGGAUUGCUUCAAAUUCAAUGAUUGAAUCAAGGCCUGCAAAGCAAUAAAUACAUUUUAUGUAGUGCAUUUUCUAUUUGAUGAUGGGGACUAAAUAACUCUAUUGACAAUAAGACCAAUAUGGACAUAAGCAAUCAUUAUUGUGUAUAUAAAUAAAGAUGUGCCAAUUAUAUGCAUACAACGUUUUCAGUCAAUUUCUUACAAACUGGUGUUGUGCCAGGGGUUACACAGAUGUAUGAAGUAGAUGGGCUUUUAUGGAUGUACUUGAACUACCACUGGUGUUGUGUACCUACAACCAUGUAAUAUCACACUACUACUCAUAGGAGUAGAAAUAUUGUAAUGGUUAUCACAACAGGUGUACUCGUGUAGCCUACUCGUGUUGCGAUAUAGAGUACAUCC